CCUACGGGGUGGCAGCAGUGGGGAAUAUUGCACAAUGGGGGAAACCCUGAUGCAGCCAUGCCGCGUGUAUGAAGAAGGCCUUCGGGUUGUAAAGUACUUUCAGCGGGGAGGAAGGUGUUGUGGUUAAUAACCGCAGCAAUUGACGUUACCCGCAGAAGAAGCACCGGCUAACUCCGUGCCAGCAGCCGCGGUAAUACGGAGGGUGCAAGCGUUAAUCGGAAUUACUGGUCGUAAAGCGCACGCAGGCGGUCUGUCAAGUCGGAUGUGAAAUCCCCGGGCUCAACCUGGGAACUGCAUUCGAAACUGGCAGGCUAGAGUCUUGUAGAGGGGGGUAAAAUUCCAGGUGUAGCGGCGAAAUGCGUAGAGAUCUGGAGGAAUACCGGUGGCGAAGGCGGCCCCCUGGACAAAGACUGACGCUCAGGUGCGAAAGCGUGGGGAGCAAACAGGAUUAGAUACCCCCGUAGUC
rnacentral:rRNA from 1 species